rnacentral:rRNA from 1 species
UACGGGGGGAGCAAGCGUUGUUCGGAUUUACUGGGCGUAAAGGGUGCGUAGGCGGCGCGGUAAGUCGGGUGUGAAAUCUCGGAGCUUAACUCCGAAACUGCAUUCGAUACUGCCGUGCUUGAGGACUGGAGAGGAGACUGGAAUUUACGGUGUAGCGGUGAAAUGCGUAGAUAUCGUAAGGAAGACCAGUGGCGAAGGCGGGUCUCUGGACAGUUCCUGACGCUGAGGCACGAAGGUCAGGGGAGCAAACGGG